rnacentral:rRNA from 1 species
UGAGGAAUAUUGGACAAUGGAGGCAACUCUGAUCCAGCCAUGCCGCGUGCAGGAAGACUGCCCUAUGGGUUGUAAACUGCUUUUAUACAGGAAGAAACAUCUCUACGUGUAGAGACUUGACGGUACUGUAAGAAUAAGGAUCGGCUAACUCCGUGCCAGCAGCCGCGGUAAUACGGAGGAUCCAAGCGUUAUCCGGAAUCAUUGGGUUUAAAGGGUCCGUAGGUUGAUAAUUAAGUCAGAGGUGAAAGUUUGCAGCUCAACUGUAAAAUUGCCUUUGAUACUGGUUAUCUUGAGUUAUUAUGAAGUAGUUAGAAUAUGUAGUGUAGCGGUGAAAUGCAUAGAUAUUACAUAGAAUACCAAUUGCGAAGGCAGAUUACUAAUAAUUAACUGACACUGAUGGACGAAAGCGUGGGGAGCGAACAGGAUUAGAUACCCUGGUAGUCCACGCCGUAAACGAUGGAUACUAGCUGUUCGGACUUCGGUCUGAGUGGCUAAGCGAAAGUGAUAAGUAUCCCACCUGGGGAGUACGUUCGCAAGAAUG